UGCGUGGGAAUCUGCCCUGCAGUGGGGGAUAACGUCCCGAAAGGGGCGCUAAUACCGCAUAUACCCCAUGGGGGAAAGCGGGGGCUCGUUCGGACCUCGCGCUGCAGGAUGAGCUCACGUCGGAUUAGCUGGUUGGUGGGGUAAAGGCCUACCAAGGCGACGAUCCGUAGCUGGUCUGAGAGGAUGAUCAGCCACACCGGGACUGAGACACGGCCCGG
rnacentral:rRNA from 1 species